CAACUAUGUAUAAUAAUGAUAUAUUUUGUGGCGAUUCGAAAAGUUUGAAACAUUAAUUUUUGAGUAAACCUCGAUUUCCCUCAUUUUCUAAUCAAAACAUAAUCUAUUUUGCCCUUAAUCUAUUUUGCCCUUCCCUUUUUCGUUUUGCCCGGUCAUAAAGCCGUCUAGGGCCGUGUCAAAAGUUAUGAGAAGAUAGUAAUCAUUCUUCUUCUUCUUCUUCAACUGCCAUUCCUUCCUCAUGUCCUCCUUUUUCCAAGAG
ensembl:ncRNA B0273.112 ncRNA